rnacentral:rRNA from 1 species
UUUGUAACCCCCGUACCGGUGUCGUCUGAGCAGAUGAGCAAAUCGUACAAAACUUUCAACAACGGAUCUCUUGGUUCUGGCAUCGAUGAAGAACGCAGCGAAAUGCGAUAAGUAAUGUGAAUUGCAGAAUUCAGUGAAUCAUCGAAUCUUUGAACGCACAUUGCGCCCUCUGGUACUCCGGAGGGCAUGCCUGUUCGAGCGUCAUUGCACCCUCAAGCCUCGCUUGGUGUUGGGCGCCGCCCCCUCCGGGGGGCGCGCCUUCAAGACGGUGGCGGUCCGUCGCGACUUCAAGCGUAGUAUGAUUAUCCAGUCCCGCUUGCGAAGCUUCGUGACGCGUCCGGCCAUGCCCCCCGCGGCCCUCCAGCGGCCUUUCACGAUUGACCUCGGAUCAGGUAGGGAUACCCGCUGAACUUAAGCAUAUCAAUAAGCGGAGGAAAAGAAACCAACAGGGAUUGCCUCAGUAACGGCGAG